UACGGGGGUAGCAAGCGUUGUUCGGAAUUACUGGGCGUAAAGGGCGCGUAGGCGGCAUAACAAGUCAGAUGUGAAAGCCCCGAGCUCAACUCGGGAACUGCAUCUGAAACUGUAUUGCUUGAGUUCUGGAGGGGGUAGUGGAAUUCCCAGUGUAGCGGUGAAAUGCGUAGAUAUUGGGAGGAACACCUGCGGCGAAGGCGGCUACCUGGACAGUGACUGACGCUGAGGCGCGAAAGCUAGGGGAGCGAACGGG
rnacentral:rRNA from 1 species